CCAAUUGAUAGAAUAGCAGCAGUUCUAGUAAUAAACACAUGUUUCGUUGAAAACGGAUGAAAAUAGUGACAGUUUGGUGUCCAACUACCAUAAAUAACAUUUUGGAGGAAUUUAUUAAAAUUUUCGGCAAAAAGAUAAACGACACCAUUCUUCAUAUUUUCGUGUGAACACCCUAGGGGAGCAAAGGCGUCAAUCACCAUCUCUGAGAUACCCAACUGCCGUGACUCUUUUCUCCGUCAGUUUCAACCACUACGUCCGUGUCAUCGUACUUCCCUAUCAUUGAUCUGCUCCCUCCGCCGUGUAGCUCCCGCGCACGAGAGGAAAGUGGAAGGGGUCGUCCAAGUCUUCUCACUCCGUCGUACACGUCCGUGUUGCCGUCGGCGUCCUUCCCAUUCGUUCGUCCUGGUGUCGUCGUCGGCAUCCUCCCCCUUGUCCUAUUGUGCGCUGCUCGAUCGCUCCCUCUCUGUUCUCUCUGAGUCAUCGUUCAUAUAUUAUUUCAAGAACAAUGAAUGUUCUGUUUGUCGAACACAUUGUGCCACGCCGUUCUUUGAGAAAUGAUUCGAAGUAUAAUGCCCUUAUUGCUGCUUUAUAUCUAGAUAUUGAGAAGUACGAGGAAGAGGUAUGAGUUGACCUAUGUUUGCUAUGUAUUAUGACCAUGUGUAAAAAAUUGACUAG